GUCCACGCCGUAAACGAUGGAUACUAGCUGUUGGGCGCAAGUUCAGUGGCUAAGCGAAAGUGAUAAGUAUCCCACCUGGGGAGUACGUUCGCAAGAAUGAAACUCAAAGGAAUUGACGGGGGCCCGCACAAGCGGUGGAGCAUGUGGUUUAAUUCGAUGAUACGCGAGGAACCUUACCAAGGCUUAAAUGUAGAUUGACAGGUUUGGAAACAGAUCUUUCUUCGGACAAUUUACAAGGUGCUGCAUGGUUGUCGU
rnacentral:rRNA from 1 species